AUACUUACCUGGCAGGGGAUCGUGAAGGUUGUUUUCCCAUUGCACUCCAGGUGUGCUGGCCCCUGAGAUUUCCCUAAAUGUGGGAAACGCAACUGCAUAAUUUGUGGUAGUGGUGGACUGCAUUCAUGCUUUCCCCUG
rnacentral:snRNA from 1 species